rnacentral:rRNA from 1 species
GAGGAAAAGAAACCAACAGGGAUUGCCCUAGUAAUGGCGAAUGAACAGGCAAAAGCUCAGAUUUGAAACCCUCGGGAUUGUAAUCUGGAGACCUGGAUUUGGCACGCUGACCAAGUCUUCUGGAACGGAGCGCCAUGGAGGGUGACAGCCCCGUAGCAGCAGCCACUGUAAAUCCGGGUCGACGAGUCGAGUUGUUUGGGAAUGCAGCUCUAAGUGGGUGGUAUGCUCCAUCUAAAGCUAAAUAUUGGCGAGAGACCGAUAGCGAACAAGUACUGUGAAGGAAAGAUGAAAAGAACUUUGAAAAGAGAGUGAAAAAGUACGUGAAAUUGUUGAAAUGGAAGGCAAUGAGGUGCGAUUGAACCGGACGUUUGCGGGCAGGACAAAAGCGCAGGCCGCCUCGGCAUUGCCUGCGUGCAUACUGCCUCGCGGACUACCAGUUCUAACAACGCCUUAUUGCACCCGUCUUAA